UACGGGGGGGGCAAGCGUUGUUCGGAAUUACUGGGCGUAAAGGGCUCGUAGGCGGCCAACUAAGUCAGACGUGAAAUCCCCAGGCUCAACCUGGGAACUGCGUCUGAUACUGGUUGGCUUGAAUCCGGGAGAGGGAUGCAGAAUUCCAGGUGUAGCGGUGAAAUGCGUAGAUAUCUGGAGGAACACCGGUGGCGAAGGCGGCAUCCUGGACCAACACUGACGCUGAUGAGCGAAAGCCAGGGGAGCAAACGGG
rnacentral:rRNA from 1 species